GCUCAUCACCCACAAACAAAGCACAAGGGCCAAACAUAAAGAUACAAAACAAACAAAAAAAGAGGUUUUUUCUUGUGAAAUUCUCUCUAAUUUGCUUUUCUGAUGAAUGAUUUUGAAAUGAAAACAGUGACUUUCAUAGGUCCCAAUGAGCUAAGAAAACAUUUCCACCCCAUGUUCAUCCUUGCGUUUGUUUUGUAACCAUUCAUGCAUUAACCACCUCAUUCUAUGGUUUUUCUUACCUUUUAACUUUGUCUUUAUCUCUCUCUUCCACUAAAGCAAGGAUAGCCUGUCAGUCUCCGCCUCCCGACUUAGGUAUCAUGCCUGUUGCCAUUAUGUAUAGCUCAUACUUUUUGACCCCAAAAAAAUGUAUAGCUCAUACUUUGUCGUUAGGUAAAGAUUGUCACUAUAUCCGAAUUGUUGUUAUCAAUAUGAAUGUUCUCAAGGUGUAGUUUUUUGGAAUAUAACACAUCACAUGUUCAGUCGUAGCGCAUAUCAAUGUGCUUUGAACUCGGGUGAAAAUUCGAGUUUUUUCUUGGGUUGAGUUAUUAGGCUAUCUCUAACUUAUGAGGCCAAACUCAAAAUAUCCCAAAUUUUAGUCUACUUCCCCUCUCAACUCAAGAAAAUUAAGGGGCCAAAAUUUGGGAAAACUCGAACUUGGG
rnacentral:lncRNA from 1 species